UACGUAGGGAGCGAGCGUUGUCCGGAAUUACUGGGUGUAAAGGGUGCGUAGGCGGCCUUGCAAGUCAGGCGUGAAAACCAUGGGCUCAACCCGUGGACUGCGUUUGAAACUGUGAGGCUUGAGUGAAGUAGAGGUAGGCGGAAUUCCCGGUGUAGUGGUGAAAUGCGUAGAGAUCGGGAGGAACACCAGUGGCGAAGGCGGCCUACUGGGCUUUAACUGACGCUGAGGCACGAAAGCAUGGGUAGCAAACAGG
rnacentral:rRNA from 1 species